rnacentral:rRNA from 1 species
GACGAACGCUGGCGGCGUGCUUAACACAUGCAAGUCGAACGGUGAAGCGAGUGCUUGCACUCGUGGAUCAGUGGCGAACGGGUGAGUAACACGUGAGUAACCUGCCCAUCACUCUGGGAUAAGCACAGGAAACGGUGUCUAAUACUGGAUACGACCAACCCUUGCAUGGGGUGUUGGUGGAAAGAUUUAUCGGUGAUGGAUGGACUCGCGGCCUAUCAGCUUGUUGGCGGGGUAAUGGCCCACCAAGGCGACGACGGGUAGCCGGCCUGAGAGGGUGACCGGCCACACUGGGACUGAGACACGGCCCAGACUCCUACGGGAGGCAGCAGUGGGGAAUAUUGCACAAUGGGCGAAAGCCUGAUGCAGCGACGCCGCGUGAGGGAUGACGGCCUUCGGGUUGUAAACCUCUUUCAGCAGGGAAGAAGCGAAAGUGACGGUACCUGCAGAAGAAGCACCGGCUAACUACGUG